UUAAUACUCUAGGGGAGCCUUUUAGGCUGAGAGGAAGUACGUCUUCGACCCUUUGGACCUGACCCGGGUAAUACCGGCGUAGGAAAGAGCUAUGGUAAAUUA
rnacentral:ncRNA from 2 species